ACUGGCAAUGAUGACACACUUGCCCUCACUGAGAACACAGUUCGAUAAUGAGAACCCUGUUAUGUACUCACAAAUGCUGAGCCAGA
rnacentral:snoRNA from 1 species